rnacentral:rRNA from 1 species
UAAAGGGCGCGUAGCCGGUUUGUUAAGUCGAAGGUGAAUCCUCGGGCUCAACUCGAGAAUUGCCUUCGAUACUGGCAAACUAGAGUGCCGGAGAGGAAAGCGGAACUCUUGGUGUAACGGUGGAAUGUGUAGAUAUCAAGAGGAACACCGGUGGCGAAGGCGGCUUUCUGGACGCACACUGACGCUCAGGCGCGAAAGCGUGGGUAGCAAACAGGAUUAGAUACCCUGGUAGUCCACGCCAUAAACGAUGGGUACUAGGUGUCGGGGGUAUCGACCCCUCCGGUGCCGCAGUUAACGCACUAAGUACCCCGCCUGGGGAUUAUGGUCGCAAGGCUGAAACUCAAAGGAAUUGACGGGGCCCCGCACAAGCGGUGGAGCAUGUGGUUUAAUUCGACGCAACGCGAAGAACCUUACCUGGGCUUGACAUGCUUGGGACAGCGCUGGAAACAGCGUCUCUCCUUCGGGAGCCCUUGCACAGGUGCUGCAUGGCUGUCGUCAGCUCGUGUCGUGAGAUGUUGGGUUAAGUCCCGCAACGAGCGCAACCCUCGUUACUAGUUGCCAUCAGUUCGGCUGGGCACUCUAGUGAGACUGCCGGUGAUAAACCGGAGGAAGGUGAGGAUGAUGUCAAGUCAUCAUGGCCCUUACGCCCAGGGCUACACACGUGCUACAAUGGUCGGCACAAAGGGUCGCUAAGCCGCGAGGUGGAGCUAAUCCCAAAAAGCCGGCCUCAGUUCGGAUUGGAGUCUGCAACCCGACUCCAUGAAGGCGGAAUCGCUAGUAAUCGCGGAUCAGCAUGCCGCGGUGAAUAUGUUCACCGGGGCUUGUACGCACCGCCCGUCAUAUCACCCGAGUCGGGGAUACCCGAAGUCCGUGACCCAACCAUUUGGAGGGAGCGGCCGAAGGUGUGCCUGUAAGGGGG